rnacentral:rRNA from 1 species
GGGUUGUGAGGUUAAGCGACUAAGCGUACACGGUGGAUGCCCUGGCAGUCAGAGGCGAUGAAGGGCGUGCUAAUCUGCGAUAAGCGCCGGUAAGGUGAUAUGAACCGUUAUAACCGGCGAUACCCGAAUGGGGAAACCCAGUGUGAUUCGUCACACUAUCAUUAACUGAAUCCAUAGGUUAAUGAGGCGAACCGGGGGAACUGAAACAUCUAAGUACCCCGAGGAAAAGAAAUCAACCGAGAUUCCCCCAGUAGCGGCGAGCGAACGGGGAGGAGCCCAGAGCCUGAAUCAGCAUGUGUGUUAGUGGAAGCGUCUGGAAAGGCGCGCGAUACAGGGUGACAGCCCCGUACACAAAAGCGCAUGUGCUGUGAGCUCGAUGAGUAGGGCGGGACACGUGGUAUCCUGUCUGAAUAUGGGGGGACCAUCCUCCAAGGCUAAAUACUCCUGACUGACCGAUAGUGAACCAGUACCGUGAGGGAAAGGCGAAAAGAACCCCGGCGAGGGGAGUGAAAAAGAACCUGAAACCGUGUACGUACAAGCAGUGGGAGCCCCACCACUAAGCCAGUGGUGAACUCCACAUACGCAUCCUUUGCUGAGGAUACGGUUAACGGAGCGAAAGCGACGUUCAACCUCAAAAGAAGCAGAGGGGGCUUAGUGGUGGGGUGACUGCGUACCUUUUGUAUAAUGGGUCAGCGACUUAUAUUCUGUAGCAAGGUUAAC